ACCCGAAUUGAUAACUGGAUGGCUUGAUCGGUGUUUUGAAUAAAAACUAUCAGUCCCUUUCUGUCUUUUAAGUAUUCGGAAUAACAAACCGGGAAAUGCUUCUUACACGAUGGAUAACAUUUCAAUUGUAUCGAUCGUUUACUUUUCCUGUACAUCU
rnacentral:snoRNA from 1 species